UCUGGCCCCUCGGGGUCCGAGUUGUAAUUUGUAGAGGAUGCUUUUGGUGAGGUGCCGCCCGAGUUCCCUGGAACGGGACGCCACAGAGGGUGAGAGCCCCGUCUGGCUGGCCACCGAGCCUCUGUAAAGCUCCUUCGACGAGUCGAGUAGUUUGGGAAUGCUGCUCAAAAUGGGAGGUAUAUGUCUUCUAAAGCUAAAUAUUGGCCAGAGACCGAUAGCGCACAAGUAGAGUGAUCGAAAGAUGAAAAGCACCUUGAAAAGAGGGUUAAAUAGUACGUGAMAUUGUUGAAAGGGAAGCGCUUGUGACCAGACUUGGGCGCGGCGGAUCAUCCGGGGUUCUCUCCGGUGCACUUCGCCGCGUCUAGGCCAGCAUCAGUUCGUCGCGGGGGAAAAAGGUUUCGGGAACGUGGCUCCUCCGGGAGUGUUAUAGCCCGUUGCAUAAUACCCUGCGGUGGACUGAGGACCGCGCAUCUGCAAGGAUGCUGGCGUAAUGGUCACCAGCGACCCGUCUUGAAACACGGACCAAGGAGUCGUCUUCGUAUGCGAGUGUUCGGGUGUCAAACCCCUACGCGUAAUGA
rnacentral:rRNA from 1 species